ACCACUCCGUUUGGGGCCAUCUGCAAACCUCUGAGGGUGCACCUCCAUCUCGCUGCUUGGACACCUCCAGAAUCAUGGAACCACAGAUCUGUUGAGGCUGGAAGAGACCCUUGAGAUCACCAAGUCUUGCCUCAAGCUCACAAUCCCACCACUACUACUAAGCCACUACCAUAUCUGGAGGACAACCUUCUGUUAGCUUUCACAGCAGAUGGCACAGGGGCAGGCACGGGGAGGUCUAGGAGUACUGAGAACAGGUUUUGGAAUUACUGGGAGCAGAGGGAGGGACUAUGGGACACUGGGGCUACAUUGGGAGCACUGGAUGGCAUAGAGUGUCACUGGGAACACUGCAGGGACUGGGGGGUACUGAGUAUUAUGGGGAGCAGUGAGAGGGACUGGGCAGCACUUUGUUUUACUGGCAGCAGCAGGAAGAGACUUGGUGAUACUAGAAGGGUAUGAGGGCCACACUGGGAACAAUGGCAGUACUGAGAAGGAGAUGGGGGAAUUACUGGGAAUACUAGAAGCCUCGGAAGCACUAGGAAGGGAAUUUGAACUUACUGGCAGGGCCUGGGAGGACACUGCAGCCAUACUGGGAGUAUACAGAGUGCAAUGGAGAACACUUGGAUGAGAUUUUUGAGUUACUGGAAGCACUGGUGGGUCUGGGAAGACCUUUGAGGUCUGGGAUUAUGGGAAGGGAUUUCGGAGUCACUGGGAGCAGCAGGAGUGACUGAAGGGCUCUGGGUAUUAUGGGGGACCCUGGCAAAGGAUUUUUGGAGUCACUGGGAGCAGCAGGAGUGACUGGAGGGCUCUGGGUAUUACUGGGGACCCUGGCAAAGGAUUUUGGAGUUACUGGGAACACUAGGAGGGACUGGGAUGCAUUGUCUGUUACUGGGUGCACUGGAAAUUAGGGGCAGCACAAUAGGUAUUACAGGGAGCACUGGCAGAGACUGGGCAGCACUUGGUCUUACCAGUAGCACCAGGAAGAGUUUGGGAUACUGGGAGUAACUGGGAGGACACUGCAGCCACACUGGGAAGGAGAUCUGGGGGUUCCUGCAAGCACUGAGAAAGAAUUUUGGGGUUACUGGCAACAGUAGGCAUGACUGUGUAAUAUUGGGGACCACUGGGAUGCACUGGGCAAUACUGGAAACAGCAUUGAGUAAUAAAAACCUGCCGGGUUUGAUCUGGGCAAACUCAGCCUCAAUCUGCAAACAGCCUGGGACUAAAAA